GACGAACGCUGGCGGCGUGCCUAAUACAUGCAAGUCGAACGCUGAAGCUUGGUGCUUGCACCGAGCGGAUGAGUUGCGAACGGGUGAGUAACGCGUAGGUAACCUGCCUGGUAGCGGGGGAUAACUAUUGGAAACGAUAGCUAAUACCGCAUAAGAGUAGAUGUUGCAUGACAUUUGCUUAAAAGGUGCAAUUGCAUCACUACCAGAUGGACCUGCGUUGUAUUAGCUAGUUGGUGAGGUAACGGCUCACCAAGGCAACGAUACAUAGCCGACCUGAGAGGGUGAUCGGCCACCCUGGGACUGAGACACGGCCCAGACUCCUACGGGAGGCAGCAGUAGGGAAUCUUCGGCAAUGGACGGAAGUCUGACCGAGCAACGCCGCGUGAGUGAAGAAGGUUUUCGGAUCGUAAAGCUCUGUUGUAAGAGAAGAACGAGUGUGAGAGUGGAAAGUUCACACUGUGACGGUAUCUUACCAGAAAGGGACGGCUAACUACGUG
rnacentral:rRNA from 1 species